ensembl:miRNA
GCCUCACUUUUCCACUUCUGCCUGCCCUGCCCCUCGAAUCUGCUCCACGAUUUGGGCAGGACAGGCAGAAGUGGAUAAGUGAGGA